rnacentral:sRNA from 1 species
GCUGUGCCAUCUGCCACUCCCCUCAUCGCUAUGGUGAUUAGGCUGACCUGGCUGGCUAGGCAGGUAUUCC